rnacentral:rRNA from 1 species
AUGGUAACCCAUCUGCUCUUUGCGGACGACAGCAUUGCUUUUCUGGAAGGAUCAGAGAAUAACCUACUGACGCUCAAGGCGAUCUUGGGGAACUAUGGGCUGGCAUCAGGACAGAAAGUAAACAUGCAAAAGUCGGCCAUAUUUUUUGGGAAGGGAUGUUCGGAGGAAAACAAAGAGCAGCUCAAGGCGGUCAUUGGGAUCAAUUCGGAAGCCUUGAGUGAGAAAUAUUUGAGUCUGCCGACUGCUGUGGGCAAGUCCAAAGAUGGUACUUUCAAAUAUGUUAGAGAGAGUGCCAAGGGAAAGGUC